CCUCUGCGUCACCCUGGCUCUUGCUGGGAGUGGACGCUGCUGGCCAUGGGCUCCUGGAGCCCAUCACUGCACCCAGGCAAGGUGCCCACAGGAGUUAGUGAGAAACGGGGGGCUGAGUGAAGAGGGGAGACCUGGAGUGGUCACAGGCCUGCUGGUAUCCCUGGGGGUGCCAAGGUGCUCCCUCUCUCUGAAGGACACCCUAUCCUCUACCAACCAGCCGAUGUGUGGGGCCCGGAGCCCACCACCAGAUGGCGCCACGACCCUGCAGACGGGCUGAAGGUUUCAGGGGCCCCCAGGAGGGGGCGCAGGGGGCUGGCGCGUGGAGCAGGGACCGGCUGGGCCCGACACCUCCUCCCCACUUGAGUCCGCGCUUCCUGCUUGGCCUGGGGCGGCGGCUGGCUGGCCUUUGGGGUCAGAAUGUCCCUUGCGAGUUCUACUAUGUACAUCACGUGGGGCUCUCACCACCCUUAGCUGGGGGGUCCCUCACCUGCUUCCCCCAAAGAGCCGGGGCUCCCACCUGUGGGCCUUCCCAGGAGAAGGGCUGGCCCCAUGUUGCCUGUUUGUUCGUGGGCAGCUGGGCAGCCGUGGUCGGUGUGAGGACGCCCCAGGUUCACAGGUACCCUGGCCGGUGCUUGGGAGCUUGGUCAGAACGUGGCACAGCAGACAGGUCAUUGCCACAGACCAGAGGCUCCCGCGUCCUGCCACAAGGACCGGCCCCCGACGGGGGAAGCGGCCUCAUCACCCAUCUUCCAAGGGAGGACGCGGGCUCAGAGAGGUGCACGGCUGCCUGCGGCUGCACAGCAGCAUUCUCUCCUGGGCAGAACCUGCUCGGAGGCAACCCGGGACGGCUUUGA
rnacentral:lncRNA from 12 species